rnacentral:rRNA from 1 species
CUACCUCUCAGUGGGGGACAACCUGCCGAAAGGCGGGCUAAUACCGCGUAACACGAUCGGUUCACAAGGGCCGAUCGUCAAAGGUAGCCUCUGCUUGCAUGCUAUCGCUGAGAGAUGAGCCCGCGUCCCAUUAGCUUGUUGGUGGGAUAACAGCCUACCAAGGCUACGAUGGGUAGCCGACCUGAGAGGGUGAUCGGCCACACUGGAACUGAGACACGGUCCAG